rnacentral:rRNA from 1 species
CGGAAGGAUCAUUACCGAUCAUUCAAAAGACGCAGUCUUUUACACCGCGAACCGUACGAAGGAUUGGGGGUCGCCCCGUCGAGGGCGUCAAACGAUGGGAGCGAUAUCGAUUUCCACGGCCCCCGACGUUCCAUUUUUUUCACAAACAAACAAACCUAUGCCACAGAGAAAUCGCAGGGCACUAGCUGCCMGGCGAAAAAAUCCAAAAAAGUUCAUAACUUUUAACGGUGGAUCUCUUGGCUCGUGCAUCGAUGAAGAACGCAGCCRGGUGCGAUAAGUAGUGUGAAUUGCARAAUUCAGUGAAUCAUCGAAUCUUUGAACGCAAAUGGCGCUCUUGGGUUUUCCCAGGAGCACGUCUGUCUGAGUGUCGGUUUCCAAAGAACUGCGCAACGCGUCUUCCGAGGCGCCUGCGGUCUUGAGGCGUCGCGGCCCCUACCCAUGAAAAUGUGAAGGGCUGCCGCGUCCCUCGAAGUGAAGCACGACCGAAGCGAGCGACUCGGGUCGCCGCUCUCGGGGAGGCCAAAAGCAACUUUGCCCUUCCUCGAGGCGGCCCGGGAAGCUCGGCGYCGCGUCGCGGUCGGCGAGGGGGCGAGCCGAGAGGCUCUCUCUCUCCAACAACGCUCMAAUCUUGACCUCAGAUCAGGCGAGGCUACCCGCUGAAUUUAAGCAUAUUAAUAAGCGGAAAAAAAAGAAAUAACAAGGUCCCCAGUA